rnacentral:rRNA from 1 species
AACGAACGCUGGCGGCAGGCCUAACACAUGUAAGUCGAACGCCCGUAGCAAUACGGGAGUGGCAGACGGGUGAGUAACGCGUGGGAACGUGCCCUUCGGUUCGGAAUAACUCAGGGAAACUUGAGCUAAUACCGGAUACGUCCGUAAGGAGAAAGAUUUAUCGCCGAAGGAUCGGCCCGCGUCGGAUUAGCUAGUUGGUGAGGUAACGGCCCACCAAGGCGACGAUCCGUAGCUGGUCUGAGAGGAUGAUCAGCCACACUGGGACUGAGACACGGCCCAGACUCCUACGGGAGGCAGCAGU